rnacentral:rRNA from 1 species
ACACGUGAGUAACCUGCCCUUAACUCUGGGANAAGCCUGGGAAACUGGGUCUAAUACUGGAUAUUGACUUUUCCUCGCAUGGGGUUUGGUUGAAAGCUUUAGUGGUUUUGGAUGGACUCGCGGCCUAUCAGCUUGUUGGUGAGGUAAUGGCUCACCAAGGCGACGACGGGUAGCCGGCCUGAGAGGGUGACCGGCCACACUGGGACUGAGACACGGCCCAGACUCCUACGGGAGGCAGCAGUGGGGAAUAUUGCACAAUGGGCGAAAGCCUGAUGCAGCGACGCCGCGUGAGGGAUGACGGCCUUCGGGUUGUAAACCUCUUUCAGUAGGGAACAAGGCCACACGUUGUGUGGUUGAGGGUACUUGCAGAAGAAGCACCGGCUAACUACGUGCCAGCAGCCGCGGUAAUACGUAGGGUGCAAGCGUUAUCCGGAAUUAUUGGGCGUAAAGAGCUCGUAGGCGGUUUGUCGCGUCUGCCGUGAAAGUCCGGGGCUCAACCCCGGAUCUGCGGUGGGUACGGGCAGACUAGAGUGAUGUAGGGGAGACUGGAAUUCCUGGUGUAGCGGUGAAAUGCGCAGAUAUCAGGAGGAACACCGAUGGCGAAGGCAGGUCUCUGGGCAUUAACUGACGCUGAGGAGCGAAAGCAUGGGGAGCGAACAGGAUUAGAUACCCUGGUAGUCCAUGCCGUAAACGUUGGGCACUAGGUGUGGACAUUCCACGUUUUCCGCGCCGUAGCUAACGCAUUAAGUGCCGCGCCUGGGGAGUACGGCCGCAAGGCUAAAACUCAAAGGAAUUGACGGGGGCCCGCACAAGCGGCGGAGCAUGCGGAUUAAUUCGAUGCAACGCGAAGAACCUUACCAAGGCUUGACAUAAACUGGAAACGCUUGGAAACAAGUGCCCCGCUUGCGGUCGGUUUACAGGUGGUGCAUGGUUGUCGUCAGCUCGUGUCGUGAGAUGUUGGGUUAAGUCCCGCAACGAGCGCAACCCUCGUUCUAUGUUGCCAGCACGUAAUGGUGGGGACUCAUAGGAGACUGCCGGGGUCAACUCGGAGGAAGGUGAGGACGACGUCAAAUCAUCAUGCCCCUUAUGUCUUGGGCUUCACGCAUGCUACAAUGGCCGGUACAAUGGGUUGCGAUACUGUGAGGUGGAGCUAAUCCCAAAAAGCCGGUCUCAGUUCGGAUUGGGGUCUGCAACUCGACCCCAUGAAGUCGGAGUCGCUAGUAAUCGCAGAUCAGCAACGCUGCGGUGAAUACGUUCCCGGGCCUUGUACACACCGCCCGUCAAGUCACGAAAGUUGGUAACACCCGAAGCCGGUGGCCU